rnacentral:rRNA from 1 species
CCUACGGGCGGCAGCAGUGGGGAAUAUUGCUCAAUGGGGGAAACCCUGAAGCAGCAACGCCGCGUGGAGGAUGAAGGUUUUCGGAUUGUAAACUCCUUUUGUUAGAGAAGAUAAUGACGGUAUCUAACGAAUAAGCACCGGCUAACUCCGUGCCAGCAUCCGCUGUAAUACGGAGGGUGCACGCGUUACUCGGAAUCCCUGGGCGGAAAGCGGGCGUAGGCGGGAUAGCAAGUCACAUGUGAAAUCCUAGUGCUUAACCAUAGAACUGCAUUUGAAACUGUUAUUCUAGAGUAUGGGAGAGGUAGGGGGAAUUCUUGGUGUAGGGGUAAAAUACGUAGAGAUCAAGAGGAAUACUCAUUGCGAAGGCGACCUGCUAGAACAUAACUGACGCUGAUGCGCGAAAGCGUGGGGAGCAAACAGGAUUAGAUACCCCAGUAGUC